rnacentral:lncRNA from 1 species
UGGAAUAAAUGGUUAAGAAUUGAAAGGGUCAUAACCUUUGGAAUCCGCUUGCCGAUGGAUCAUCUUUUGGGUAGGAUAAAGAGGUUGAGAAGUGAGAGAUGAGAGCCAGACUGUGAGAAUUAUAAGCCAAGGUAAGCUUGAUGCUACCUCUUUGUUUUCUUUGCUUUUAUUAUUUGCUUAUGAAGAAUUGUAAUUGAGAGAAGUAUUGUUGAAUUGAUAGUAGUAGAAUGGAUUACGUGUUGAAUUAAGACAAAAGUAGUAAGCCUUGGUGUUUUGUAGUUUGAUAAUUGAUUUCAGAUAGCCAGAGUAUAGUCAAUUGUGACACUAACAGACCCAAUUUAUGUAACCAGUCUUUUUCCGUGUUCGAACCCACCUCUAUUAGUUCAAUUGCUUUGUUAUACUGAAGCUUGAACACAACGAGAACAAUACUUACAAAAAUUAGUAGUGAUAAAUUUUUAUAUAAUAUACAUUCUUUUUUAAGUUUAGUAGAUACUAUAAAUAACAAAAUAUUAUUAUUUUAGAAAAUCUUAUACUUUAUUUAAUUAUUAAAGCUACUUAUUCUUUGUUAGUUUUAAUUUUUUUUUCCAAU